GACGAACGCUAGCGGCAGGCCUAAUACAUGCAAGUCGGACGGGAUUCAGGAGCUUGCGUCGGAUGCUAGUGUCGCACGCGUGCGUAACACGUAUGUAACCUACCUUUAUCAGGGGGAUAGCCUCUCGAAAGACAGGUUAAGCCCGCGUAAAAUCACAGCACAGCAUUGUGUGGUGUUCAAAUGUUUAUGGGAUAAAGAUGGGCAUGCCGAACAUUCGCUAGGUGGCGGGGUAACUGCCCAUCAUGGCGUCGAUCGUUAGGGGAUCGAGGAGGAUUGCCCCCCACACGGGUACUGGCACACGGACCAGACACAUACGGGCGGCAGCAGUAAGGAAGAGAGGUGAAUGGGAGGAUGCCUGAUGCAGCCAUGCCGCGUGCAGGAAGGCGGCCUGACGGGUGGUAACCUGCUGUUAGAAGGGAAUAAUCCCAGAUACGGGUAUCUGGCUGAAUGUACUGUAAGAAUAAGGAUCGGCUAACUACGUG
rnacentral:rRNA from 1 species